rnacentral:rRNA from 1 species
GCUUAACACAUGCAAGUCGAGGGGCAGCACAGCUAGCAAUACCGGGUGGCGACCGGCGCACGGGUGAGUAACGCGUAUGCAACUUACCUAUCAGAGGGGGAUAACCCGGCGAAAGUCGGACUAAUACCGCAUGAAGCAGGGGCCCCGCAUGGGGAUAUUUGCUAAAGAUUCAUCGCUGAUAGAUAGGCAUGCGUUCCAUUAGGCAGUUGGCGGGGUAACGGCCCACCAAACCGACGAUGGAUAGGGGUUCUGAGAGGAAGGUCCCCCACAUUGGUACUGAGACACGGACCAAACUCCUACGGGAGGCAGCAGUGAGGAAUAUUGGUCAAUGGCCGAGAGGUUGAACCAGCCAAGUCGCGUGAGGGAUGAAGGUUCUAUGGAUCGUAAACCUCUUUUAUAAGGGAAUAAAGUGCGGGACGUGUCCCGUUUUGUAUGUACCUUAUGAAUAAGGAUCGGCUAACUCCGUGCCAGCAGCCGCGGUAAUACGGAGGAUCCGAGCGUUAUCCGGAUUUAUUGGGUUUAAAGGGUGCGUAGGCGGCCUUUUAAGUCAGCGGUGAAAGUCUGUGGCUCAACCAUAGAAUUGCCGUUGAAACUGGGGGGCUUGAGUAUGUUUGAGGCAGGCGGAAUGCGUGGUGUAGCGGUGAAAUGCAUAGAUAUCACGCAGAACCCCGAUUGCGAAGGCAGCCUGCCAAGCCAUUACUGACGCUGAUGCACGAAAGCGUGGGGAUCAAACAGGAUUAGAUACCCUGGUAGUCCACGCAGUAAACGAUGAUCACUAGCUGUUUGCGAUACACUGUAAGCGGCACAGCGAAAGCGUUAAGUGAUCCACCUGGGGAGUACGCCGGCAACGGUGAAACUCAAAGGAAUUGACGGGGGCCCGCACAAGCGGAGGAACAUGUGGUUUAAUUCGAUGAUACGCGAGGAACCUUACCCGGGUUUGAACGCAUUCGGACCGAGGUGGAAACACCUUUUCUAGCAAUAGCCGUUUGCGAGGUGCUGCAUGGUUGUCGUCAGCUCGUGCCGUGAGGUGUCGGCUUAAGUGCCAUAACGAGCGCAACCCUUGCCACUAGUUACUAACAGGUAAAGCUGAGGACUCUGGUGGGACUGCCAGCGUAAGCUGCGAGGAAGGCGGGGAUGACGUCAAAUCAGCACGGCCCUUACAUCCGGGGCGACACACGUGUUACAAUGGCGUGGACAAAGGGAAGCCACCUGGCGACAGGGAGCGAAUCCCCAAACCACGUCUCAGUUCGGAUCGGAGUCUGCAACCCGACUCCGUGAAGCUGGAUUCGCUAGUAAUCGCGCAUCAGCCAUGGCGCGGUGAAUACGUUCCCGGGCCUUGUACACACCGCCCGUCAAGCCAUGGGAGCCGGGGGUACCUGAAGUCCGUAACCGCGAGGAUCGGCCUAGGGUAAAACUGGUGACUG